rnacentral:rRNA from 1 species
GAUGAACGCUAGCGGCAGGCUUAACACAUGCAAGUCGAGGGGCAGCAUGAUGAAACUUUCGGGUUUCAUUGAUGGCGACCGGCGCAAGGGUGCGUAACGCGUGAGCAACUUGCCCUUAUCAGGGGGAUAACCGGUGGAAACGCCGACUAAUACCCCAUAGUAUCACUUCAAGGCAUCUUUUAGUGAUUAAAGAAUUUCGGAUAAGGAUAGGCUCGCGUGACAUUAGCUAGAUGGCGGGGUAACGGCCCACCAUGGCGACGAUGUCUAGGGGUUCUGAGAGGAAGGUCCCCCACACUGGAACUGAGACACGGUCCAGACUCCUACGGGAGGCAGCAGUGAGGAAUAUUGGUCAAUGGUCGGAAGACUGAACCAGCCAAGUAGCGUGAAGGAUGAAGGUUCUAUGGAUUGUAAACUUCUUUUGUUGGGAAUAAAAGACGCUACGUGUAGCGUUGUGCAUGUACCUUACGAAUAAGCAUCGGCUAAUUCCGUGCCAGCAGCCG